AUGGCCGCCGCCGACCGUCUCUCCGCCCUCGCCGACGACCUCCUCCAGCGCAUCCUGUCCUUCGCGCCGGCCAAGGAGGCCGCGGCCAGCGCCGCCCUCUCGCGCCGAUGGCGUCCGCUGUGGCGCCGCACGGCCGCCCUCAACCUCGACAGCAAGCCCUACCCCCGCCAAUACUCCUACGGGGACCGCCACGGCCGCUACGACGACUUCUUCCGCCACGGCGUGGCCGCCCUCGGCUGCCGCCGCCAACCGGCGCUCAAGAGGCUCACGCUCUACCUCGGGAUGGACGCCUACCUCGUUGGCGGGAGGUACUACAGCUCCCACGACGGGGAUCCGGAGUCCGAUGCCCGGGUCACCGGCCUCCUCGUCGACCCCGCCGCGGCCGCGCUGGAGGAGCUCCGCAUCGCUGCCGAGCCCUCCUACCGAAAUUCCUACGUAGCGCCGCUGGCCUCCCUGCCCUGCGCCGCCACGACGCUCCGGGUGCUGGAGCCUGGAGCUCGACUGCUGCGACCUCGAGCCGUCCGCCCGGCUCGUUUUUCCUUUGCUCACGGAUCUCACGCUGCGCAAUUGCACUUACGUCGUGGGAUAUCUGCAGGUCGUGCUCGAUGCCGCACCGGCGCUCAUCAGACUUGCGCUGGUGAACGUCGCUAA
rnacentral:rRNA from 1 species